rnacentral:rRNA from 1 species
AGAGUUGAUCCUGGCUAGGACGAACGCUGGCGGCGUGCCUAACACAUGCAAGUCGAGCGAGGAGAUCCUUCGGGAUGAUCCUAGCGGCGGACGGGUGAGUAACACGUGGGCAACCUGCCUCAUAGAGAGGAAUAGCCUUCCGAAAGGGAGAUUAAUACCUCAUAACAUUGCAGUUUCGCAUGGAACAGCAAUUAAAGGAGCAAUCCGCUAUGAGAUGGGCCCGCGGCGCAUUAGCUAGUUGGUGAGGUAACGGCUCACCAAGGCGACGAUGCGUAGCCGACCUGAGAGGGUGAUCGGCCACAUUGGGACUGAGACACGGCCCAGACUCCUACGGGAGGCAGCAGUGGGGAAUAUUGCACAAUGGGGGAAACCCUGAUGCAGCAACGCCGCGUGAGUGAUGACGGCCUUCGGGUUGUAAAGCUCUGUCUUCAGGGACGAUAAUGACGGUACCUGGGGAGGAAGCCACGGCUAACUACGUGCCAGCCGCCGC